UUUAAAAUUAAUUGGUGGGACACAAUUGUAUUCUACACAUUCAUACAUAAAUGUAAUUCAAAAAAAGGGCCAUCAGGAAUAUAAGUUGUUAUUCAAGCUGUUGAAUAAAUAAGAUAUAUCCAAUUUGUUUUACAGAUAUAUGCUAGAAAUUUCUUACUUCUGUUGAGCCAGUUUUCCUUUGCAUUUGUAAUGUAUGUCACAGCACCAAAAAGUAAAAGGUUGUUUGAUAUACAGUAUCAAAUCAAAAAUAAUAACAUCAUGUCUGAAGGAAAAAGAAGAGAGAAAAAAGACCAUUAACAGAAUCCUUCAAGUUAUUGCCCACUUACCUAAUAAUAAUAAUACACAAGUAUGUGAUAGUACUUUGUACAAAGAUGAAGACAUGGGUAACAAUUAUUUUGAUGUACU
rnacentral:lncRNA from 1 species